rnacentral:rRNA from 1 species
UAUAAGAGGUCCAGCCUGCCCAGUGACCAAGAGUUUAACGGCCGCGGUAUUUUAACCGUGCAAAGGUAGCGCAAUCACUUGUCUUUUAAAUAAAGACCUGUAUGAAUGGCCAAACGAGGGCUUAACUGUCUCCCUUAUCAAGUCAGUAAAAUUGAUCUACCCGUGCAGAAGCGGGUAUAAACAUACAAGACGAGAAGACCCUUUGGAGCUUAAGGUAAAAAUCAACCACGUCAAGCAACUUAAAAAAAAACUUUGUGGAUUAUGAAAUAAUACCUUCGGUUGGGGCGACCAUGGAGAAAAAAAUAACCUCCAAGUGGAAUGGGACCACNCCCAAAACUAAGAGAGACAUCUCUAAGCAACAGAACAUCUGACCAUUAAUGAUCCGGCUAACUAACGGCCGAUCAACGAACCAAGUUACCCCAGGGAUAACAGCGCAAUCCUCUCCCAGAGACCAUAUCGACGAGAGGGUUUACGACCUCGAUGUUGGAUCAGGACAUCCUAAUGGUGCAGCCGCUAUUAAGGGUUCGUUUGUUCAACGAUUAAAGUCCUACGUGAUC